GAUGAACGCUGGCGGCGUGCCUAAUACAUGCAAGUCGAACGAAACUUCUUUAUCACCUUGUGCUUGCACUGACCGAUAAAGAGUUGAGUGGCGAACGGGUGAGUAACGCGUGGGCAACCUGCCCAAAAGAGGGGGAUAACACUUGGAAACAGGUGCUAAUACCGCAUAAGCAUACAUACUGCCUGGUAGCUAUGUGAAAAGUGGCGAUAGUACCGCAUUUGGAUGGGCUCGCGGCGCAUUAGCUAGUUGGUAGGGUAAAGGCUUACCAAGGCAAUUAUGCGUAGCCGAAUUGAGGGGGUGGACGGCCACAUUGGGAGUGAGACACGGCCCAAACACCGACAGGAGGCCGCAGUAGGGACUCUUACACAAUGGGCGAAAGCCUGAUGGAGCAACGCCGGGUGGGUGAAGAAGGUCUUCGGAUCGUAAAGCCCUGUUGUUAGUGAAGAAAGUGAGUGCUAGUAACUGUUCACGUUUCGACGGUACCUAACCAGAAAGCCACUGCUAACUACGUG
rnacentral:rRNA from 1 species